GUGAGAAGUAGCAGUGAGAUUAUUCAUGUUUUCUGCAUUCGCAGUCUCGUCUCAAGGAACUGGAACGGGAAGCACAUUUUGCUGCAGGAGAACAGUUUCAUGUGACGAGCAGUAAUCAGCUCCGAGAGAUGCUCUUUGGGAAGCUGCAGCUGCACCUCCUGUGUCCACGGGAGAGUCUUCCCAGAACAGGGCUGCAGAGACAGCUGUCUACGUCGGAAGCCUCGUUACAUAUCCUACAAGACCUUCAUCCAUUGCCAAAGAUAAUUUUGGAGCAUAGGCAG